rnacentral:rRNA from 1 species
AUUGAACGCUAGCGGCAUGCUUUACACAUGCAAGUCGAACGAGUGGCGGACGGGUGAGUAAUAUAUCGGAAUGUGCCCAGUAGCGGGGGAUAACUACUCGAAAGGGUGGCUAAUACCGCAUACUAUUGGAUCGGCCUAUAUCGGAUUAGCUAGUUGGUGGGGUAAAGGCUCACCAAGGCCACGAUCCCUAGCUGGUUUGCGAGGAAGACCAGCCACACUGGGACUGAGACACGGCCCAGACUCCUACGGGAGGCAGCAGUGGGGAAUAUUGGACAAUGGGGGAAAGCCUGAUGCAGCCAUGCCGCGUGUAUGAGAAGGCCUUAGGGUUGUAAAGUACUUUUAGCCGGGAGGCGGUAUCUGCAGAAUAAGCACCGGCUAACUACGUGCCAGCAGCCGCGGUAAUAC